rnacentral:rRNA from 1 species
GUUUACCUCUUGAGCUGGGGGUGGCCGCAGAGACCAGCGAGAAGCGACUGUUUACUAAAAACACAGGUCCGUGCGAAGCCGUAAGGCGAUGUAUACGGACUGACGCCUGCCCGGUGCUGGAACGUUAAGGGGACCGGUUAGCUGCUCUUCGGGGUGGCGAAGCUGAGAACUUAAGCGCCAGUAAACGGCGGUGGUAACUAUAACCAUCCUAAGGUAGCGAAAUUCCUUGUCGGGUAAGUUCCGACCUGCACGAAUGGCGUAACGACUUCUCGACUGUCUCAACCAUAGGCCCGGUG